rfam:Oryza glumipatula chromosome 9, whole genome shotgun sequence.
UAUAAAUACAGUUGUAAGUUUCCAUGUUUAAUGUUUAACCGUCCUUCUUAUUUAAAAAAAUAUGAUUAGUAUUUUUAUUGUUAUUAGAUGAUAAAACAUGAAUAAUAUUUUAUGUGUGACUAAUUUUUUUUAAAUAAGACGGAUGUCAAAUGUUAAGUAAGAAAACUCACAUCCACACUUAAC